rfam:Branchiostoma floridae genomic scaffold BRAFLscaffold_174, whole genome shotgun sequence.
CCCCCGGCCCUUUUCAGGGCCACCCAAAUCCCCCCGAAAGAACUGU